UCCAGCUCCAAAACUGGGAGCUACUGUCCUAAUGAGGAACCAACUUGUUCUGAGGAGCAUCUGAAUAAAGAGGGAACAGUUUUCUGUCUCAGUAAUGGGGAAGCUGCCGAGCUCUGGCUGUUCAGUUUCACAUAGCACUAUCCUUUAUGGAGGAGCAGACUGAACUCGACAUCCAGUGCAGCUGGGCUGACCCAGACAGGCAUCAUGCCAAAGCCACAGAUGUGCAAGAUGAAGGGUGAAGACCAGGACAUGGAGAAGGUUGUGCUUGAAUGUAUCAACAAGUACUUGACGUCCCCAUGGUCCUGUUUAUUGCAUUAAAAUCCCACCUGUGCACUUGAGAUUUUUCAACCAGGCCCAACUGUGAAUAAAGCCAAAGGCUGAGGAAAGUUCUGUGGGCUUUCGCACCUUCCUAAAGCAACAUUGUAAUUGUACCUUGAGAUAAACCAAUGCUUGAUCUUCUAUGUGAGACAGUCACAAGGUAUUUGAAGCUGAUGGAUGGCGGAAGGUGUACGUGUUGCCUGCUCAAUAAACUGAGGAGGCUAAAGGGAACCUAGGAGAUGAAUAUACUUAGAAGGAAGACCAAAAUGGUAAAGCUUUGAUGGCGUGGAUAUGAUCUCUU
ensembl:lncRNA